rnacentral:rRNA from 1 species
UUUACGGAUCACACUAUGUGACAUAUCAUUCAAGUUUCUGACCUAUCAGAAUAAGGCGGAAGGGUAUUGGCCUACCGUGGCUAUGACGGGUAAUGGGGAAUUAGGGUUCGAUUCCGGAGAGGGAGCCUGAGAAACGGCUACCACAUCUAAGGAAGGCAGCAGGCGCGCAAAUUACCCAAUCCUAAUACAGGGAGGUAGUGACAAGAAAUAACAAUACAGAGCCUUACGGUUUUGUAAUUGGAAUGAGUUAAGUAUAAACCCCUUAACAAGUAUCAAUUGGAGGGCAAGUCUGGUGCCAGCAGCCGCGGUAAUUCCAGCUCCAAUAGCGUAUAUUAAAGUUGUUGCAGUUAAAAAGCUCGUAGUUAAUUUUCUGUUAAUUUUUAUAUACAAUGCUACGGUAUUUAUAUAAUAUUAACAUAAUUCAUAUUACUUUUUAGUAUAUGAAACUUUACUUUGAGAAAAUUAGAGUGCUUAAAGCAGGCUAUUGCCUUGAAUACUCCAGCAUGGAAUAAUAUUAAGGAUUUUUAUUCUUCUUAUUGGUUCUAGAAUAAAAAUAAUGAUUAAUAGGGACAGUUGGGGGCAUUUGUAUUUAACAGUCAGAGGUGAAAUUCUUAGAUUUGUUAAAGACAAACUACUGCGAAAGCAUUUGCCAAGGAUGUUUUCAUUAUU